UACAGAGGUCCCAAGCGUUGUCCGGAAUCAUUGGGCGUAAAGAGCUCGUAGGCGGCUCGGUAAGUCGGGUGUGAAACCCCCAGGCUCAACCUGGGGACGCCACCCGAUACUGCCGUGGCUAGAGUCCAGUAGGGGAGUGUGGAAUUCCCGGUGUAGCGGUGAAAUGCGCAGAUAUCGGGAGGAACACCUGCGGCGAAGGCGGGUUGCUGGGCUGACACUGACGCUGAGGCGCGAAAGCUAGGGGAGCGAACGGG
rnacentral:rRNA from 1 species